rnacentral:precursor_RNA from 14 species
GAGGCUGUCUGAGGACUGGUGGUCUCAGGGAGUGUACUUCCUGGGGCCUCUGGGUAUAUAAUUCCUGUGGCCUCUGGGUGUGUACCCUCUGUGGCUUCCAAGGUCAUACUUCCUGCAG